rnacentral:lncRNA from 1 species
UUCGCAUCCCCCUCCCUGACCUGUGCCGUUAUAAUGCGGGGGGAAAAGGCCGCAGAAUUUUCCCGUAGUUCUGAUAGCUUGUUGGCUCCAAAGAUCUCUAGUAAAACUGCCUUGUGGCGGCACCAUAAACUCAAGCUCUCCAAACAGCUUCACCCCUAAUCUCGCCGCCCCAUAACAACCGUCGCUGCCACCUCCCAUUAGUAAUUCAUUUGCCAUGUCCUCGCCCACAUAUGACCUAACCAUUGCUAGGCUGAAGUUGAUGGUGGUCUGGCUCAUCUUGUUUAAAGGUGGAAGAGACAAUGGCGUCAUUGCGAGAAUGAGUUUGUCCUCCUUCUCCUCGUCCCCGUACAAGAGUCCCGCCCGGAAGUUUUUGUAAGAGACGCCCAAUAUGUGGUUGGGGUUAACAAACACCAGGCUCAGGUCCCAUGUGGCAGUUAAGUACCAAUUGUUGUUGUUGGAGGAGCCACCAGCAGAAGCAGCGACAGCAAGACUCGGGGUGAGUGGGCA